rnacentral:misc_RNA from 1 species
AUUCCUGUUAUAUCUUGUUAGUAUAUGUUGUAGCUAAAAAGGUAAAAGCACUAAAAUGCCAGGUGAUAAGUUGCCGUCAGAUGAGAAUAUCACGAUGUUGUUAGGAAUGGGCUUUUCUGACGUUGAAACAGUUAAAAAAGCUUUGACUCUAGCAAAAAAUGAUGUUAAUGAAGCAGUUGCUAUAUUAACUGGAGAAGUUAGUAAAGGUGGAUUUGACCCAACUCCAGAUAUUGAAAUGAGUGAUAGUUCCAUUAUUACUGAUACUACAAAUAAUAAUGUACAAUUUGGACCUGAACCAGAAAAAUUAUUAGAAAUCUCUGAUGACAGCAUAGAAAAUAUAGAUAUAUCUAUUGAGGAUAUACCUGAUGAAUUUCCGGUUACUAAUCUGUAUGAACUUGAAGAAAGAAUAUUUACUGAGAAUUGGUCCAUUCCAUUCAAAAAAAAUGAGUCUUUAGCUAAGUGUUUAUACAGUGCUACAAAAUUAGCUUUUUAUGAAAAAAGUGAUAUAGAUACUAACUGUGCACAUUUUGUUGAUAGAAUCUUACCUGAGUGCUUUAGCAAGUUGAUGUUUUCUCCUGCUGUGCGUAAAUGGCAACCUGAUAUACAUGAAGGUGUAUUUAAUAUGGUGCAGUUGUUCAUUGACUUUGCAGCAACAAGAUUGAAAUAUCAGCCAUUGCCAGUUAAACUGCUUGGAAUAUUGUGCAAAUGUUUUGAUCCAGAAUCAGAAUUUCAUUUCAAAAAUAGAUCAAGAAAAUGGAAUCGAACCUAUUAUGAAGAUAUAUUUGGUUAUGAAAAAUGUCCUGCUAUGAGUCCCCCAUACACUUCUUACAAGGAUCCAUUUGGUUGGCUGGUUGACUUAUUUAAUCGGUUUUCAUUAAAAGGUGGUUUAGAUGCUCUUAUAUCUCAAAUAAAUAAUGUUGAAGCUUUAACUCCAAAUAUUUUAUCAUGCCUAUGGAAACCACUUGGAUUGUGUGCUCCUUAUUUAAACAAAGAUGUCUUAAGUAUCAAGUUAAGCGAUUGUGCUUCAAAUGUUGUGAAGUUUGUUACUGAGCUUAAAGAAAGUGACAUGAAAGAAAAAGAAGUGGAUAAAGUUUUUGACCUUCUACGAACACUUAGUGUAGUAUGUGAAGCAUUGUGGAGUGACAAAACAACUCAUGUAAAUCAACUUCAUUUAUCUACAUUAUUAAAAAUGCUUCACAUAGCACAUUUUAAUUCACGAAUGAAUGCCUUGAAAGAACUAUGCAGGUUGAUUAAAGAUUGUGAAUCAAAAGAGCGUGGAACUAAUGUUUUACAAUAUGAUGUCAUAAUGAAAUGGAUGCUAGACAAUAAAGUGUUGUCAAUAGCUUUUUCUAACAUUUUGCAUCAAUCUCAGUAUUGUGAAAAAUUAAAAAAAGUUGUGGAAUUUGUAUGCACAAAAAUAUCAUUAGAAGAACUUACAACUAUAUGGUCUAUGCAAUCUGGUAAACACAUCACUGUUGUUGAUAAUAUUCACAAUAUUAUUGCCAGUGCAGCACAGAACUUUUCAACUAAGCAGUUAGAUCAUUUGAUUGAACUUAUUCAGGCUAGUUUGAAAGAAAGCGAUAAUGACGAAGGAAAAGCUAAUGAAGGAAUUCUUAUUAUGGUGGGGAAAAUCGGAAGAGAUAUUCAUGAUGAAAAAAUUGUGAUUAAGUUGCUGGGUAUGCUUUGGGAUUAUUGGCACACCACAGAUUUACCACUCUGUUUACUUAAUCAAACAGUUCAAUCUCAUUUGGAUAUUUUGACUGAUUCAACAGUUAUUAAGGCUCCUGUCAAACUUGAUUAUAUAUCUAAAUGUGUUGCAGACCUAAAAAGUAAAACAGUUGUAGUUCCUGCAUUGCGACACAUCCUACAUAAUUUGCAAGCAAUGAUCAAAGUUCAUUUUUCAAAAAAUGGACAUGCUCGGCUGGAAGAAAUUCAAAGUCAAUAUGAUUUACUAAAACUAAUAACAAAGAGCUUAGUUAAUUGUCACAUCCAAAUAACAAGUUCUAUUUCUGCAGGAAUGUUGUCAGGAGAUACUGUCAUAAAUAAUUUAUAUACACAUGCUGAAACAGUAAUUACUCAUCUGAAAUUAAUAGAGUUUUUAUUGAAAAAUGGUGAUUUGUAUCUUUCAUGGAGUCAUUGCAAAGAUAUAUGGGACUGCUUGAUGCUCAACGAAAAAAAUUGUUCUGGUGAUUUUGAGACAUGCUUUGAAUGGUUUUUAACAUGUAUAUCUGACUUAACCAGUGAAAGAAAGAAAGAACUCUUUGUUUCAAGAAUUUUGUCAACUGAAAUUAGUAAAGUUAAAGAAGUUGGCUUCAGUUGCUUCAAAGCAUACUUUGAGGAUGUUAACAACGAUGAACGUAAGUUACUAAAGAAUGGUCCAUCAAUUUUGGUAGAAAAGCAAGAUCUGAUUGGUCUUUCAUACUUGUUGCAAUUAAUACUAGAAUCUCCAUAUCAAAGUAUUGCAGAUGAAGCAUCUCAGUAUUUCAUAAAUGUUUCUUAUUUAUUGCUUGCCCCUAAAAUGAAAAAGAUGGAUAUUCGAGUUAUUCAUCAGAAAUUUAUCUGUGAGUGUAAUAUGAAACUUGAUUUAUUAAUGUCACAGUUGAAUGAGACUGAGCAACCAGAGCUUCAAGAUAUUAAGGUUACCACAUUCAAAAAACCUCUGCCAGUUAAAAAAAGUAUUCUUGAUCGUGAAAAGAUUUUGCAAUCAAUGGUUCGUUUACUAAAUUUAAUGUCACUGUAUAUACAAACAGUUGAAGAAAAAUAUACUGCACAUCGAACAUAUCCUCCUCAUGAAUCCUGUUAUCAUGGUUCACCUGUUAAUAUUAAUGUAACCUGGGAAACAAACAAGAUCAGCUUUGUUUUACUUAGUCAUAGUAAUGAAAGAAUUUCAAGUGUACGACAAAAAGUAGUAACUAAAAUAAAAUUAUUAAUAGAACAAAAAAUAUCAGCUGAACAAAUACAGAUCUAUUAUAAUGACCAACUACUUCUUGAGAGCAAAGAUCACAUGUUACUGAAACAAUUAUUGUUCAAACAACCUUUUUGCUUUAGUAUAAAGCUUGGUCCUGUGAUAUCAUCAUUGGAUACCCAUGGAUCAUCAAAAGAGGAGGUGCAUACUAAAAAACUGUCAAGUUUGCUGGAAAAAGAAAAAACAUUGCCUAGUUACAUUUUAGCUAUGGACUGCAAGAUAUUUGAUAAACUUUAUCAGCUUGCAGAAAUUGAAGAACCAAGAAUGACAAAUGCACUUCAAAAUCUGCUUUCUCGAUUGCCCACUGAUAACGAUAUUCUCCAGGCUAUAGAAGUCUUCAGUACCUAUAAUCCUUGGAUGUCUUCUCCAGGAAAGCAAGCUGGUUAUACAAAAUCUUCAGAAUCAGUUUUGGAAAAUUAUUUUAAAUGUUCCGCAUACAGAAUGUCAACAUUCAGAGUUCUAUACAAUUUACAGGUUCUUAGUAGUAAGCUGAUGCCUGUAUUAGACACUGAUUCUGCUUCAAUGACAUAUUCAUUUAAAGAAAAUUGGUUAAAUGCUGGGGGUUUGAGUUUGAUAAUGAAUAUUUUAUUACCUGACACUUUGCCUUCGAAUGCUGAUUAUGAACUUAGACAAUCAUGUUACUACAUUAUUUUGCAGUUAGCAAGAUUUUUAUUAUGUGGAGAUUCGAUUUAUGAGGACAAUUUUGUUUCUGCGAGCUUGGCAGAAAAUACAGCAGAUAGCAGUAUUGUAAGGACGUUUGCUGAAACCACUGUUGGUAAUAACACAGUGUCUGGAAAUGUACGUGUUGAAUCUCAUUCACCUGGUAUUGCUACUAGCACUCCUAUUAAAGUUCCAAACAAAAUACAAAUUGCAUCAUCAUGGCCUGGAGUUAAAAAUGGUGGUUCACCUAACACCUUAAAUCAAAUAUCACCAAGUGCUGCAACAUCUUCUACAUCAGAUAACGGGACAGUUCGCAAAAGAAUGAGAUCAACAAGUGUGUUGGAUACUGUAUCUCCCAUAGUCAAAAUGGUUAUCGAGAAUUUGAAUGAAGCAGAGUUUACAGAAACUAUCUCAAGUUUAAUGCAGGUGGCAUGGGCUGCUGGUGCUGGUCAACUUCAGCUUAAAGCGCACAACAAAUCAUUGUCUUCAAUAGCUUCAUUAGAAGGACCAAGUAUAUUAAAAAGUGGUAUAUGUUUACAGCAAGAUUUUGUGUCUGAUAUGGAUUCAAUUUUAUGUAAAAACAGUUUGGAACUGCUUGUCAUGUGUUUACAGCUUCGACCUAACUUUUUAAGAGUUUUUUACCAGUUACCUGAUGUUGUUGAUUUCUUUAUUGAUUUAUUGACAGGAUCCCCAAGUGAACAGGUACGCUCGGCAACAGCACAUCAUUUUCUAGCUCUAGCUCAAACUAGUUUAAAUGAUUCAUUAAUCCCGUCACCAAAAAUAUUUAUAUUAUCCACCUUAAUGAAAAUUCAAUUACCGUUUUGGAAUUCGUCUGGAACUAUACGAGGACUAUCAUUUAAAUUGCUGUCGCAAUCUCAAAAUUAUUUUAACCUUUUGUGUAGCUUAUUUCAAUCAUUAUCAGUAAAAGAGCAAGAGACAAUUGGUGUGGAUGCUAAUCAGCUUCUAAAAUGCGAGUUACAGUUUUUAAGCAGUUCUGAUUGUGCAACGGAUCUUUUACAUGGCCAUUUAAUGUUUGCAAAUACACUAUAUUCAUGCGAAGGAGUUAACUGCGAAGAAACAGAUCAGGGUUUUAUUCAUUUUUUGUUAGAUGAUUUUUUAUUUUGUGCAUCUCACUUGGCUAAUAAUAAAUCAUUGUCUACAGUUGAUUUACUUGAUAUUAACAUGAGUUACAAUAAUGUCAAAUGUCGAAAGGAAGCAUUCAACUUGUUAUUAACUCUUGCCAGCAAACGUCACAGUAAUCUUCAGGAAAUUGCAACAGAUUUGCAGCUAAGACAUCACAAUGAACUGCAUUCAUCAGAGUGGAAUUUUCAGCCAUCGGUAUCACUUCGCCCUGUGAAUGGAUUUGUCGGACUGAAAAAUGCUGGUGCUACUUGUUAUAUGAAUAGUAUUUUGCAGCUCCUUUAUAUGCAGCCUGGUAUUAAAGAAACUAUAUUAAAACUUGAAGAUGUUUGUCAAGAAAAUAUACUUUACCAUCUUCAACUAAUCUUUGGUCAUCUGCUUGAAAGUCAGCAGCAAUUUUAUUCUCCAGAGCUUUUUUGGAAGAAUUUCAAGCUAUGGGGUGAACCAGUUAAUGUUCGUGAACAACAAGAUGCGUUUGAGUUCUUCACAAAUAUUACUGAUCAACUUGAUGAGAACUUGAACUCUCUUUUCAAAAAAAAAAUUUUUAAUAAUUUGUUUAGCGGACAAUUUGUUGAUCAAAAAAUAUGCAGUGAGUGUUCUCAUUGUUUUGAAUGUGAUGAACCAUUUUCUUCACUUCCAGUGACUGUGAAAAGUGGUAACUUAGAAGCAUCACUUGAGCAGUUUGUUCGUAAGGAGGUAAUGGAAGGAGAGAAUGCUUACUAUUGUGAGAAAUGCUGCGAGCAUCGUACAACAGUUAAAAGGACUUGCAUUAAAAGUUUACCUCCAGUGUUAGUUUUUCAAUUAAAAAGAUUUUGGUAUGAUUGGGAAAGAAACCGAGCAAUCAAGUUUGAUGAUUUUUUUAGCUUUCCUUGGAUUUUGAAUAUUGAACCAUACACACUAGAAGGAAUAACAAAAAAAGAGAAAGAAUCUGCUGUCAUUAACUCAAAUCAAAUGCCUCCUAUGAGGAUUGUUACUAAUACAAAGCAGUACUAUGAACUAGUUGGUAUUGUAGUUCACAGUGGUCAAGCAAAUGCUGGUCAUUAUUAUUCCUUUGUGAAGAAUCGCCAAAAUGGAAAUGGGGCAUUUGAAAAAUGGUAUAAGUUUAAUGAUGUCACAGUAGAGAGAUUCGAAAUGAAUGACGAAGCAUUAAAAAUUGAAUGUUUUGGUGGAGAGUACAGAGUACCACAAACAGAUUCAAAUAGUCAAUAUCCAGAAAAUCGUAUCCGAACUUGGAAUGCUUAUAUGUUGUUCUAUGAAACGAUGGAUAAAAACAGACUUCCGUUUGUUCAUUCUGAGUAUAACAGUAAUGAAGGAAGUUGUUCAAUGAUUGAUGGAAUAUGUCCCUCUCCACAUCAUAAGCCUCAUUUUGAGAUAGGAUCGUAUCCUGGUAGUCCUUCAUCUUGUUGCAGUUCAAACCCUUCAUCACCUGGCUCUAAGGAUGGAUUAAGUUUGCUUUCAGCUCUUAUUAAAAAGGGAGAACGGAAAGGACUUUUUAAAGACAACAUGCCUUCAAGCAUUAAGAGAGUUGUCAAUGAGGAGAACAUAAAGUUUAUGCAGCAUAAAGAUGUCUAUGAUAUUGAAUAUUUUGAAUUUCUGUGCCAGCUUUGUAGUUCCAGCAGAAGUUUUGAUAUAGGCGAAUCUCAUUUAAAUGACACAAAUGAUAAUGUAGAACUAUGCUGUUUGCAGCUUUCUGUUCACUUUUUGUUUAACACCUAUCUGCGGACAUCAAAAUCAUUUAGAAAUGAUAUAAGUUUGGAAUCAUGGUGCACUUGUUUAAAAUUGCUGGUAACAACAAGCAAUGAAUCUUGUAGUUGGUUAAUCGAUUAUCUGUCUGAUGAGAAGGGAAGAAGCUACAUGCUUGCUUACCUUGUUGAAUGUCCUGACCCAUCAAUCAGAGAAUUUUUUUCUACAUUAAUUUACAUAAUUUUUGAAUACAAUUAUAAAGAAAUAAGCGAGAACUUCAAUAAAGUAAAUUACCUGUUGUUACAACUUUUUUCAUUCCUCGACAAUGAACUCACAAGUUAUAUAAAGCAUGCUUCACAAUACUUUCAGCUUUUUAACAAAUAUGCUUGCAUUAAUAAAUUGGCUUUACAACAUCUUUCUGAUUUAAAAACAUUCCAAAGGUUUUACAACUUUUUAAUAGGUCAUAAACCAUUGCAUAAUAGUGAAAAAUCUAUUCGCAAAUGGAACAAUGUUCAAAAGCAAGAAAUUGUUUCAUUGUAUUUUACAAUAGCAUUACUUCUUUUGCAUAGUAAUAAUACAUCAAAACAUGUUGCAUCGUCUGUAUUCAAUUGCCCUCCUCCUCAAAGUUUAGUAAUAUUUUGUGAGUCUCUACAGAUGAGUGUUGAUAUUGAAGAAUAUUUCUAUGGAAAACCAGGGCAAAGGUUUUUGAUUGAAAUUAUUCAGACAUCAUUAGAGUUACCUCAAUUAAUCAGCACUGUGGUAGAUAUUUUAGUUUAUGGAUGCUGGUGUAACAUGGAAUAUUCUCUUACUUUUUUAUCUGAAAUUUUGAUACUUUUAACCGAAGCACCAGUAAAUGAUUUAAAGUCUGCUUUUGAAUUGGUCAAAGUUAUUUUAGAAUUAGGAGAUGGUAUCCAGAACAAUAGAGUUGAAAUAUUUAUAGAUGGUUCCACAGAACAUAAUAUAUGUGGGAUUUUAAAACUUAUCCGCUCGUGCCACCAAGAUGAUGCUCAAAGAGCGUAUCUAUGUGUGAAAUUCCUAGUUAGAAGUGACAACAAGUUAGUGCGCAAUUUUUUACUUCAAAAUUCAAUUAAGUGGCAGUGGGCUGUUGAAUGGUUAAAAAAAAAAGAUGAGUGAAUUUUCAAUGUGGUCAGCUCGCUCAAAUACCUCAAAUGAUAACCACACUUCAUUUCAGCGAACCAAUAGUGCACAAAACACUCUUGCUGAAGCAACAAAGUUACUCAUAGAAACACAAUCCUACAAUAGUUCAGGAUACCCUAAUGAUGCUAUAAAUGAAGAUGAAGUUUCAUAAUAAAUAUUGUUGCUGUUCA